rnacentral:rRNA from 1 species
UACGUAGGGUGCAAGCGUUGUCCGGAAUUAUUGGGCGUAAAGAGCUCGUAGGCGGUCUGUUGCGUCGGCUGUGAAAACCCGAGGCUCAACCUCGGGCCUGCAGCCGAUACGGGCAGACUAGAGUUCGGCAGGGGAGACUGGAAUUCCUGGUGUAGCGGUGAAAUGCGCAGAUAUCAGGAGGAACACCGGUGGCGAAGGCGGGUCUCUGGGCCGAUACUGACGCUGAGGCACGAAAGCGUGGGUAGCAAACAGG